AGGGUUUGAUCAUGGCUCAGAACGUACGCUGGCGGCACGCCUAACACAUGCAAGUCGAACGAAGUAGCAAUACUUAGUGGCAGACGGGUGAGUAACAUGUAGGUAUCUACCCUUUGGCCUGGAAUAACACGAGGAAACUUGUGCUAAUACCGGAUAAGUCUUUACGGAGAAAGCUUUAUGCACCAUUGGAUGAGCCUGCACUUGAUUAGUUCGUUGGUGGGGUAAUGGCCUACCAAGACUGUGAUCAAUAGCUGAUUUGAGAGGAUGAUCAGCCACAUUGGGACUGAGACACGGCCCAAACUCCUACGGGAGGCAGCAGUGGGGAAUCUUGCACAAUGGAGGAAACUCUGAUGCAGCGAUGCCGCGUGAGUGAAGAAGGCCCUUGGGUUGUAAAGCUCUUUCGUCGGGGAAGAAAAUGACUGUACCCGAAUAAGAAGGUCCGGCUAACUUCGUGCCAGCAGCCGCGGUAAUACGAAGGGACCUAGCGUAGUUCGGAAUUACUGGGCUUAAAGAGUUCGUAGGUGGUUGAAAAAGUUAGUGGUGAAAUCCCAGAGCUUAACUCUGGAACUGCCAUUAAAACUUUUCAGCUAGAGUAUGAUAGAGGAAAGCAGAAUUUCUAGUGUAGAGGUGAAAUUCGUAGAUAUUAGAAAGAAUACCAAUUGCGAAGGCAGCUUUCUGGAUCAUUACUGACACUGAGGAACGAAAGCAUGGGUAGCGAAGAGGAUUAGAUACCCUCGUAGUCCAUGCCGUAAACGAUGUGUGUUAGACGUUGGAAAUUUAUUUUCAGUGUCGCAGCGAAAGCGAUAAACACACCGCCUGGGGAGUACGACCGCAAGGUUAAAACUCAAAUGAAUUGACGGGGACCCGCACAAGUAGUGGAGCAUGUGGUUUAAUUCGAAGAUACGCGCAGAACCUUACCAACACUUGACAUGUUCGUCGCGACUCUAAGAGAUUAGAGUUUUCGGUUCGGCCGGACGAAACACAGGUGCUGCAUGGCUGUCGUCAGCUCGUGUCGUGAGAUGUUGGGUUAAGUCCCGCAACGAGCGCAACCCUCACUUUUAGUUGCCAUCAUUAAGUUGGGCACUCUGAAAGAACUGCCAGUGAUAAGCUGGAGGAAGGUGGGGAUGACGUCAAGUCCUCAUGGCCCUUACGUGUUGGGCUACACACGUGCUACAAUGGUAUCUACAACAGGAAGCAAGACUGCGAGGUCAAGCAAAUCCUCAAAAGAUACCUCAGUUCGGAUUGCACUCUGCAACUCGAGUGCAUGAAGCUGGAAUUACUAGUAAUCGUGGAUCAGCGUGCCACGGUGAAUGCGUUCCCGGGUCUUGUACACACCGCCCGUCACACCAUGGGAGUUGGUUCUACCUUAAG
rnacentral:rRNA from 1 species